GGGUUGUGAGGUUAAGCGACUAAGCGUACACGGUGGAUGCCCUGGCAGUCAGAGGCGAUGAAGGACGUGCUAAUCUGCGAUAAGCGUCGGUAAGGUGAUAUGAACCGUUAUAACCGGCGAUUUCCGAAUGGGGAAACCCAGUGUGAUUCGUCACACUAUCAUUAACUGAAUCCAUAGGUUAAUGAGGCGAACCGGGGGAACUGAAACAUCUAAGUACCCCGAGGAAAAGAAAUCAACCGAGAUUCCCCCAGUAGCGGCGAGCGAACGGGGAGCAGCCCAGAGCCUGAAUCAGUGUGUGUGUUAGUGGAAGCGUCUGGAAAGGCGUGCGAUACAGGGUGACAGCCCCGUACACAAAAAUGCACAUGCUGUGAGCUCGAUGAGUAGGGCGGGACACGUGGUAUCCUGUCUGAAUAUGGGGGGACCAUCCUCCAAGGCUAAAUACUCCUGACUGACCGAUAGUGAACCAGUACCGUGAGGGAAAGGCGAAAAGAACCCCGGCGAGGGGAGUGAAAAAGAACCUGAAACCGUGUACGUACAAGCAGUGGGAGCACGCUUAGGCGUGUGACUGCGUACCUUUUGUAUAAUGGGUCAGCGACUUAUAUUCUGUAGCAAGGUUAACCGAAUAGGGGAGCCGAAGGGAAACCGAGUCUUAACUGGGCGUUAAGUUGCAGGGUAUAGACCCGAAACCCGGUGAUCUAGCCAUGGGCAGGUUGAAGGUUGGGUAACACUAACUGGAGGACCGAACCGACUAAUGUUGAAAAAUUAGCGGAUGACUUGUGGCUGGGGGUGAAAGGCCAAUCAAACCGGGAGAUAGCUGGUUCUCCCCGAAAGCUAUUUAGGUAGCGCCUCGUGAAUUCAUCUCCGGGGGUAGAGCACUGUUUCGGCAAGGGGGUCAUCCCGACUUACCAACCCGAUGCAAACUGCGAAUACCGGAGAAUGUUAUCACGGGAGACACACGGCGGGUGCUAACGUCCGUCGUGAAGAGGGAAACAACCCAGACCGCCAGCUAAGGUCCCAAAGUCAUGGUUAAGUGGGAAACGAUGUGGGAAGGCCCAGACAGCCAGGAUGUUGGCUUAGAAGCAGCCAUCAUUUAAAGAAAGCGUAAUAGCUCACUGGUCGAGUCGGCCUGCGCGGAAGAUGUAACGGGGCUAAACCAUGCACCGAAGCUGCGGCAGCGACGCUUAUGCGUUGUUGGGUAGGGGAGCGUUCUGUAAGCCUGUGAAGGUGUACUGUGAGGUAUGCUGGAGGUAUCAGAAGUGCGAAUGCUGACAUAAGUAACGAUAAAGCGGGUGAAAAGCCCGCUCGCCGGAAGACCAAGGGUUCCUGUCCAACGUUAAUCGGGGCAGGGUGAGUCGACCCCUAAGGCGAGGCCGAAAGGCGUAGUCGAUGGGAAACAGGUUAAUAUUCCUGUACUUGGUGUUACUGCGAAGGGGGGACGGAGAAGGCUAUGUUGGCCGGGCGACGGUUGUCCCGGUUUAAGCGUGUAGGCUGGUUUUCCAGGCAAAUCCGGAAAAUCAAGGCUGAGGCGUGAUGACGAGGCACUACGGUGCUGAAGCAACAAAUGCCCUGCUUCCAGGAAAAGCCUCUAAGCAUCAGGUAACAUCAAAUCGUACCCCAAACCGACACAGGUGGUCAGGUAGAGAAUACCAAGGCGCUUGAGAGAACUCGGGUGAAGGAACUAGGCAAAAUGGUGCCGUAACUUCGGGAGAAGGCACGCUGAUAUGUAGGUGAAGUCCCUCGCGGAUGGAGCUGAAAUCAGUCGAAGAUACCAGCUGGCUGCAACUGUUUAUUAAAAACACAGCACUGUGCAAACACGAAAGUGGACGUAUACGGUGUGACGCCUGCCCGGUGCCGGAAGGUUAAUUGAUGGGGUUAGCGCAAGCGAAGCUCUUGAUCGAAGCCCCGGUAAACGGCGGCCGUAACUAUAACGGUCCUAAGGUAGCGAAAUUCCUUGUCGGGUAAGUUCCGACCUGCACGAAUGGCGUAAUGAUGGCCAGGCUGUCUCCACCCGAGACUCAGUGAAAUUGAACUCGCUGUGAAGAUGCAGUGUACCCGCGGCAAGACGGAAAGACCCCGUGAACCUUUACUAUAGCUUGACACUGAACAUUGAGCCUUGAUGUGUAGGAUAGGUGGGAGGCUUUGAAGUGUGGACGCCAGUCUGCAUGGAGCCGACCUUGAAAUACCACCCUUUAAUGUUUGAUGUUCUAACGUUGACCCGUAAUCCGGGUUGCGGACAGUGUCUGGUGGGUAGUUUGACUGGGGCGGUCUCCUCCUAAAGAGUAACGGAGGAGCACGAAGGUUGGCUAAUCCUGGUCGGACAUCAGGAGGUUAGUGCAAUGGCAUAAGCCAGCUUGACUGCGAGCGUGACGGCGCGAGCAGGUGCGAAAGCAGGUCAUAGUGAUCCGGUGGUUCUGAAUGGAAGGGCCAUCGCUCAACGGAUAAAAGGUACUCCGGGGAUAACAGGCUGAUACCGCCCAAGAGUUCAUAUCGACGGCGGUGUUUGGCACCUCGAUGUCGGCUCAUCACAUCCUGGGGCUGAAGUAGGUCCCAAGGGUAUGGCUGUUCGCCAUUUAAAGUGGUACGCGAGCUGGGUUUAGAACGUCGUGAGACAGUUCGGUCCCUAUCUGCCGUGGGCGCUGGAGAAUUGAGGGGGGCUGCUCCUAGUACGAGAGGACCGGAGUGGACGCAUCACUGGUGUUCGGGUUGUCAUGCCAAUGGCACUGCCCGGUAGCUAAAUGCGGAAGAGAUAAGUGCUGAAAGCAUCUAAGCACGAAACUUGCCCCGAGAUGAGUUCUCCCUGACUCCUUGAGAGUCCUGAAGGAACGUUGAAGACGACGACGUUGAUAGGCCGGGUGUGUAAGCGCAGCGAUGCGUUGAGCUAACCGGUACUAAUGAACCGUGAGGCUUAACCUUACAACGCCGAAG
rnacentral:rRNA from 1 species